UUUUUCUUCUCCUUUUAUGCACCCUUAUAGUAUGAGAUAGUCCUUCAUUGAUUUUUAGAAUGCUUCAUGCGCUUCACUUAAAUAUUUUGAGUAUGGCUUUGUAGAAUGCUCUUUGGGCUUCACUUAAAUCUUUUGAGUAUGGCUCUAUAGAAUACUCUUGGUGCUUCACUUAAAUCUUUUGAGUAUGGCCUUAUAGAAUGCUUCUUGUGCUUC
rnacentral:lncRNA from 1 species